rnacentral:rRNA from 1 species
AAUCAACGCUGGCGGCGUGCCUAACACAUGCAAGUCGAACGCGAAAGUGAACCUUCCGUAAGGGAGGGGAUCAAGUAGAGUGGCAAACGGGUGAGUAACACGUGGGUGACCUGCCCUCAGCUCUGGGAUAAGCCUGGGAAACCGGGUCUAAUACCGGAUAUGACUCCAUGACGCAUGUUGUGGGGUGGAAAGCCUUGUGCGGCUGAGGAUGGGCCCGCGGCCUAUCAGCNGUUGGUGGGGUGAUGGCCUACCAAGGCGACGACGGGUAGCCGGCCUGAGAGGGCGACCGGCCACACUGGGACUGAGACACGGCCCAGACUCCUACGGGAGGCAGCAGUGGGGAAUCUUGCGCAAUGGGCGAAAGCCUGACGCAGCGACGCCGCGUGAGGGAUGACGGCCUCGG